GGGCCUAUAGUUUUAACGGUAAAACAUCGGUCUCCAAAACCGAGGUUCCAGGUUCAAGUCCUGGUGGGCCCGCAA
rnacentral:tRNA from 1 species